GACGAACGCUGGCGGCGUGCUUAACACAUGCAAGUCGAACGGAAAGGCCCUUCUUUUGUGGGGUGCUCGAGUGGCGAACGGGUGAGUAACACGUGAGUAACCUGCCCUUGACUUUGGGAUAACUUCAGGAAACUGGGGCUAAUACCGGAUAGGAGCUCCUGCUGCAUGGUGGGGGUUGGAAAGUUUCGGCGGUUGGGGAUGGACUCGCGGCUUAUCAGCUUGUUGGUGGGGUAGUGGCUUACCAAGGCUUUGACGGGUAGCCGGCCUGAGAGGGUGACCGGAUACAUUGGGACUGAGAUACGGCCCAGACUCCUACGGGAGGCAGCAGUGGGGAAUAGUGCACAAUGGGCGGAAGCCUGAUGCGGCAACGCCGCGUGCGGGAUGACGGCCUUCGGGUUGUAAACCGCUUUCGCCUGUGACGAAGCGUGAGUGACGGUAAUGGGUAAAGAAGCACCGGCUAACUACGUG
rnacentral:rRNA from 1 species